AUUAAAUAAACAAAAAAUUGUGUUUCAUAUACAACAUUUGAUCAUUAGCGUAUAUCAAUAUUUUUAUUUGAAAAUUUAGAACUAUUACACUUACAAACCCUAACGAAUUCGUUCCUGUUAAAUUCUAGGAUGUCUCUCCAUAAACAUUGUCAGUUUAUCACUGCAUUUAUCAUCGACGUGCGACAUUUAAACAGCUUUAGUUUUUGUUAAUAAAGAAUUUUCUUAAAAAUUGGCUAUACUUUCUUGUUGAAAUCUACUUUGCCAAAGAAUACAGGAUUAAAAGUUUUGUUGAAUGAUUAAAGCUUCUAUACUUUUAAUAUAGUGGUCAUAAUUGACUAAAAG